rnacentral:rRNA from 1 species
GACGAACGCUGGCGGCGUGCUUAACACAUGCAAGUCGAACGGUGAAGCUCCAGCUUGCUGGAGUGGAUCAGUGGCGAACGGGUGAGUAACACGUGAGCAACCUGCCCCUGACUCUGGAAUAAGCGCUGGAAACGGCGUCUAAUACUGGAUACGAGAAGGGUCCGCAUGGGCACUUUCUGGAAAGUUUUUCGGUUGGGGAUGGGCUCGCGGCCUAUCAGCUUGUUGGUGAGGUAAUGGCUCACCAAGGCGACGACGGGUAGCCGGCCUGAGAGGGCGACCGGCCACACUGGGACUGAGACACGGCCCAGACUCCUACGGGAGGCAGCAGUGGGGAAUAUUGCACAAUGGGCGCAAGCCUGAUGCAGCGACGCCGCGUGAGGGAUGACGGCCUUCGGGUUGUAAACCUCUUUCAGCAGGGAAGAAGCGAAAGUGACGGUACCUGCAGAAGAAGCACCGGCUAACUACGUG